rnacentral:rRNA from 1 species
GGACGGGUGAGUAAUGCUUGGGAAUCUAGCUUAUGGGGGGGGAUAACUACGGGAAACUGUAGCUAAUACCGCGUAAUAUCGAAAGAUUAAAGUGUGGGACCUUCGGGCCACAUGCCAUAGGAUGAGCCCAAGUGGGAUUAGGUAGUUGGUGAGGUAAAGGCUCACCAAGCCGACGAUCUCUAGCUGGUCUGAGAGGAUGACCAGCCACACUGGGACUGAGACACGGCCCAG